rnacentral:tRNA from 1 species
GCGCCCGUAGCUCAGUUGGAUAGAGCAACGGCCUUCUAAGCCGUGGGUCGCAGGUUCGAAUCCUGCCGGGCGUACCA